AUUGAACGCUGGCGGCAGGCUUAACACAUGCAAGUCGAACGGUAACAGAGAAUAGCUUGCUAUUUUGCUGACGAGUGGCGACGGGUGAGUAGUGCUUGGGAAUUUACCUUGUUGUGGGGGACAACAGUUGGAAACGACUGCUAAUACCGCAUAAUGUCUUUGGACCAAAGGUGGCCUCUAUUUAUAUGCUAUCGCGACAAGAUGAGCCCAAGUGGGAUUAGCUAGUUGGUAAGGUAACGGCCUACCAAGGCGACGAUCAAUAGCUGGCGUGAGAGCGCGACCAGCCACACUGGAACUGAGACACGGUCCAGACUCCUACGGGAGGCAGCAGUAGGGAAUAUUGGACAAUGGGCGAAAGCCUGAUCCAGCCAUGCCGCGUGAUAGAUGAAGGCCCUCUGGGUUGUAAAUAUCUUUUAUCUGGGAAGAAACUCCUCUAUUCUUAGAGGCCUGACGGUACCAGAGGAAUAAGCACCGGCUAACUCCGUG
rnacentral:rRNA from 1 species